AGCUUUGCACAGUGGCAGUAUCAUAGCCAAUGAGGUUUAUCCAAGGCACAAUUAUUGCUGGUUAUUGCUAAUUGAAAACAAG
rnacentral:snRNA from 1 species